ensembl:snRNA U6 U6 spliceosomal RNA
GUGCUCGCUUUGGCAGCUCACAUACUAAACCUGGACCCAUGUAGAGAUUAGCAGAGCCCCUGUGCUGGGCUGACAAGGAAUUUGGGAAGCGUUCCAUAUUUCU